rnacentral:rRNA from 1 species
CAGCCGCCACGGUAAUACGGAGGGAGCUAGCGUUGCUCGGAAUUACUGGGCGUAAAGCGCGCGUAGGCGGUUACUCAAGUCAGAGGUGAAAGCCCGGGGCUCAACCCCGGAACUGCCUUUGAAACUAGGUGACUAGAAUCUUGGAGAGGUCAGUGGAAUUCCGAGUGUAGAGGUGAAAUUCGUAGAUAUUCGGAAGAACACCAGUGGCGAAGGCGACUGACUGGACAAGUAUUGACGCUGAGGUGCGAAAGCGUGGGGAGCAAACAGGAUUAGAUACCCCUGUAGUCCCUGUCUCUUAUAC